ensembl:lncRNA
GGAAAGUCUAAUAUAUGGCCAUUCACCAUUGUAGACAGAGACUUCUGAUUGUGCCCAGUCAGUCUGGUAUUGCCGAGAAAACUUUAGUCACACUUUCAUACACAGCCCCUCUGGGGCAGAUCAGAAGAGCUCUCCCUCUCCAUCCAGGAAUGAAACAGGAAUGGAAUAACUGGCCAUGCGGUCCAAGAGAGAGGCAGCCAUGCAGGUGGCUGCAGGAAGAAAGAGUGAAGGCUCCUGUGUGAGGCACGUGGAGCAGAUGGAGCCAUCUGAAUAGGUUUGAGAAGCCACUUCCUAUUCUCUGGCCAAGGAGAAUUAUGGAUUGCAAUGGGGAUACUUGAGCCAGAGCAUGAACAAACAUUAGGAGACAAGCGAGCACUCAAAUGGAGCAGACAGUGAUCAUGGUGAAGAAUUAUCUUGAGAUUCACCGGGGUUUAUCAGAAAGUAAGAAACAUGAGCGGGCAACUGAUUUAAUUGCUAUAAACAAAAAUAAAUAGCAAAGAAGGAACCGGCACACUGAACCAGGACACGACACCACAACAAAAAGCUGGAAGUCGUCUUUCUGAUAUUUUAGUCUCUAACGUCGUGUGCAAGUCUAGAAAGUGUAUUUCUUGGUAUGAGUGAGUACGACGUAAUGGACCGCGUUCCUGCUCGUCUCCGCCCUCUAAACGUGUGGGCUUCCACGGUAAGCCCAACAUCCUCUUCAUUCAGGACCCGGCAGAAGAGUUAAGGGAAGGCGCCGCCAUUUCCCUGAGAAACUGCUUAUUACCAUGAGGACGUGGUUGACGGCGAUUGACAACCCUGCCCACCUGCAUAAACCUUGCCCCUAUUAACACCAGGGGAAAAACCUGUGGGGAGGCCCAUUCUCACUCAUCGCAGCGCGUCUCCAACGCUACUAGCGGACCGCCCUCUAUUCCCUAACCCUUGGGGAAGACCGCCAGGAGCCCCAUCACCCCAUCCAACAGUGCCAGCUCUGUGCUUGUACGCCGCCUAUUUCUUCUACACUCAUCCUCUGGCUGGUGGCGGCAGCAAAUUCCUCCGCAUCUUUGUGAAUGAGACACCCAGGGGCUGAAUAUCAAGGAACAAAUGCAUUAAUCACGGCAGAGCCUGCGUGCCAAGGCGCAUAAAGACCACUGCUCCCAGCAGCGGCGAUAGCGUGAACCUUUCCACAGACCACACGCUCCGAAGUCGCUCUCUGAAGUCUUAUUACUGACAGUGUGUGUGGGUUGGGGGAAGGGAGGUGUUGUAUCUGACUUGCCCUGAAACAUGCAUUUAGAAAUAAACGUAUUUACAUUUAGUCUUAUGUUUAAAAACAGUGGGGGGAUCUUUGGACCAGAGUCGUUACAGAUGAAACAAACACACGGACAUAGAUACACACACACACGCACAAAAGCUUUCAGGGAGAAACAGAAAAUAAUGUUUAGCAAUUACAGUCCACAGCUGCUGCAGUGCCAGUGUGCGCGCGCUACACAGGUGCGGCCAUUAUAACAAUGAAUAGCACACAUUAAAGGUGCCAUCCAUAGGGGUAAUAAUACUAGGGUUGAAAAGGUAUUUUCAUUUGCAGCCUGAUGUUAGGCAGAAAAUAAAAUAAGGCAUUUCACAGCCAGCCUGAUGGCUCAGCUGCCACAUGGGAGGCCAAAGCCUGAGAUUAAUCUAGGACUCUUAUGUGUUCCUCUGACAGUGGGAAUCCGGCAAUGGCUACCUGGAGAGACCACCAAAUCUCUUCCUAUUCAUAAAAAAGGCUGCUGAUUGGGGAAACUGAGGAAUCCCACAGUUUAUAGUUGGCAGCAUCAGCCAGUAGGACAUCUAUCCCUGCCUAGCACCUACUAGUCUCUGGAUACUAGAAAUAUUGUUGGGGGCAAAAAUACAGAUAGAGGCCCCCAAUGGAUGGGUCCAUCGAAUGGCUCCCGCAGGAGCAGAAGCCUGGAGGCAGAUUCCUCCCUCCUCUGCAGGACUUAUCUCUGGGUAGUGCCAUCACUACGUCCCCCCCCCCCCCCCCCCCCCCCCCGCCCCCCGUCACCAAAAGUUCCUUCGCAUGGCCUGGCUUCGAAGGCUGGGCCCUAAUCUGAACACAGUUGAUCUGCUUGGCUCGCCUCUCCCUUUAAAAGCCCAGCAGCGGAUGGGCACACUAUCUCAUUGCACCCACCUGCCAGAACUUCUCAAAUCACUGAACACUCCAACUUCAGUGAAAAAAUUAAUCUCCAGGCAACCAAGACAUUUGUGCAGCUUGAUAGUGGGAAGAAGCUGAGGAAGGGAGAGCUGGGGUGGCAACAAGAGGGAGCUUUAGAAUCAGAAAAGACCCCAUCUGAGCACUACCACAUGGCAGCUCAGUGACCUUGAGCAAACUACUUAUGCUCUCUGAACCUCUACAAAACGGG